ensembl:lncRNA
AUUCAGUGCAGCUUGGGGCGAUUAACUGAUGGAGAAGAAGCAGUUUAAAAACACGGAGGUGAAGAAGUUCGCUGGUUUGUGCUGAACUCUGAUGUGUUGCGGCUUCGCUCCGGCGAACAGAACAUUUUUUUAACUUUCACACAAGGACCCUGAACAGGAUUUGGGCUGCUGGUGGACACGUGAUGGAGUUUUUGCAGCAUGGUGAUCAACUUUGGGAGUUACAUGUAAAAACACCUCGGCACGCAAAUGAGGGAGGAAGGAAAAAAAAUAAUAUCAGAAAAACGAGGGGGCCAAGCCGGAUGAUCCGCCGAACGUUAAGAGGCGAGCUUUGAAGAAAAAUUCCAUCAAAGGACAAAACAAUAAGUGAAGCGUCGUGUUGUGUUGUGUAAGUGUGUGUGUGUGUGUGUGUGUGUGUGUGUGUAAAGAAAAAAGCUGGUGUUAAAUACCUCUUGUUGUUCAGAAAAUACUUAAAAUCUCAAUUGGCUGCGUUAACUGGCAUCUGGAGAACAAUGAGUAGAAUCUGUUGGAGGUUUAUAAAAGGCUUUUAG